UCCCUCUCAAGGUCGCGCCUGGAGAGUUUCCAGUACUCUGCCAGUCUUGGCUACGGGAAGGACAGUCAAGCAGAGGCCUACCCAUUCCAUUCCUAGCUUGGGCAGUGGCUAGCGAGUGGAAGGCCAUCUCCUACAAGU
rfam:Ornithorhynchus anatinus chromosome 7, whole genome shotgun sequence.